AAAUGGGCUGGUCUAUUACUGUGACAUAAGGAAGGGAGGGGCUAGGUUUUUUAGAAAAUUUGAAAAUAGAAUUGACAGGGUAUGUUAAUAGAUGUGUAGAAGGAGGAAGUUGGAGACAAAAAUGAUUUUGAGAUUUCUAGAUUGAGAGAAAGGUGAUGCUGCUUAUCCAUGACAGAAGACUUAGGAAAGAGGAAGGAAGUUUGAAUUGUUUAAGGACUGGGGGAAGAUGGAGAUUUAUAAAUAAUUAAUAAUAUAGAGCUUGAGUUAUCUGCUUUAUAUUGCCCUAAAUAUUAUCUUAUUUAUAAAUAAAAUCUUGCUUAGUAUCCUAUAAGUAUUAGUAAUGGAUGUUUGCAUUUUUCUAUUAGAUUCAGAGGCCUCAGUCUGGAAAAAGUACUGAGAUGGAUUAGUGAUGUCUGCUAUGAUCAAAGGAGUGUGAGUUGGUAGAAUUUAACUUAAUACUUACUGAGUACCUAAUGAAUGCCAAGUACUGUUCUAGGUGCUGGGAUACAACAGAGAAUAAAACAAUUUUAAAAAAUUCCCUGCCUUCAUGAAACUAAUGUCCUAGUGUUUGUUUGGAGACCAUAAACAGAAUGUUUAUGUGGUAUGUUUGAAUAUAUUUGCCAUCCCUGCUGCAAGUGGCAGGUAAGUUAAAGUGUCAAACAACAUUAUUCAGGAAAUAAUAGAGAAAUGGGGAACAGUUUGAUACUCAGUAGAUUAUAUGUAAAAAUAUGACUUUGCCUCAGUGUAAUAGUAUGAAUCACAGAAAUGUCCAGACUUUAAAGAUUGGCUCUUUUUUUCUAGGUGUUAAACCGCCUGACUUUUGCGUCUACUCUUUCUCACCUGCGUCGUUUAAAUUCUCCUAUUGGUAGAGACGGCAAGCUAGCAAAACCAAGACAGUUGCAUAAUACGUUGUGGGGAAUGGUGUGUCCUGCCGAGACCCCAGAGGGCCAUGCUGUAGGACUUGUGAAGAAUUUAGCUUUGAUGGCAUAUAUUUCAGUUGGAUCUCAACCAUCUCCAAUUCUGGAAUUUUUAGAAGAAUGGAGUAUGGAAAAUUUAGAAGAAAUUUCUCCUGCAGCUAUUGCUGAUGCAACCAAGAUUUUUGUUAAUGGCUGCUGGGUUGGAAUACAUAAAGAUCCCGAACAACUUAUGAACACCCUAAGGAAAUUGCGACGUCAGAUGGACAUCAUUGUGUCUGAGGUUUCUAUGAUCAGAGAUAUUCGAGAGAGGGAGAUUCGGAUCUAUACAGAUGCAGGCCGUAUUUGUAGACCACUUCUGAUUGUGGAAAAACAAAAGCUACUUUUGAAGAAGAGGCAUAUUGACCAAUUGAAAGAGAGAGAAUAUAACAACUACAGUUGGCAGGAUCUUGUGGCCAGUGGGGUAGUGGAAUAUAUUGAUACCCUGGAAGAAGAAACAGUGAUGCUUGCAAUGACUCCAGAUGAUUUACAGGAGAAAGAAGUAGCUUAUUGUUCCACAUAUACACACUGUGAGAUUCAUCCCUCAAUGAUCCUUGGUGUCUGUGCAUCUAUUAUUCCCUUUCCUGAUCAUAACCAGUCCCCUAGAAACACAUACCAGUCUGCUAUGGGUAAGCAGGCUAUGGGAGUUUACAUCACCAACUUCCAUGUUCGCAUGGACACAUUGGCCCAUGUUCUCUAUUAUCCUCAAAAGCCACUUGUGACUACACGGUCUAUGGAAUAUCUACGAUUUAGAGAGCUGCCAGCAGGCAUCAACUCAAUUGUGGCUAUUGCAUCAUACACUGGAUAUAAUCAGGAAGACUCUGUUAUCAUGAAUCGUUCAGCUGUAGACCGCGGCUUCUUCAGGUCUGUUUUCUAUCGCUCAUACAAAGAACAGGAGUCUAAAAAAGGAUUUGAUCAAGAAGAAGUUUUUGAGAAGCCUACACGUGAAACAUGCCAGGGCAUGAGGCAUGCCAUUUAUGACAAGCUGGAUGAUGAUGGUUUGAUAGCUCCAGGGGUUCGUGUAUCAGGAGAUGAUGUUAUUAUAGGCAAAACAGUCACCUUGCCUGAAAAUGAAGAUGAAUUGGAGAGCACCAAUAGACGCUAUACCAAGAGAGACUGUAGCACUUUUCUCAGAACUAGCGAGACGGGCAUUGUGGAUCAGGUUAUGGUAACUCUCAACCAGGAAGGAUAUAAAUUUUGUAAAAUAAGGGUACGCUCUGUUAGGAUUCCACAGAUUGGAGACAAAUUUGCCAGUCGACAUGGUCAAAAGGGUACUUGUGGUAUUCAGUAUAGACAAGAGGAUAUGCCUUUCACCUGUGAAGGUAUCACCCCUGAUAUCAUCAUCAAUCCCCAUGCCAUCCCCUCUCGUAUGACUAUUGGUCACUUAAUUGAAUGCCUUCAAGGGAAGGUAUCGGCUAACAAGGGUGAAAUUGGCGAUGCCACUCCAUUUAAUGAUGCUGUUAACGUGCAGAAGAUUUCUAAUCUUUUAUCUGAUUAUGGCUAUCAUCUCAGAGGAAAUGAGGUCCUGUACAAUGGGUUCACUGGUCGAAAAAUCACAUCACAAAUAUUUAUUGGCCCCACUUAUUACCAGCGUUUGAAGCAUAUGGUAGAUGAUAAGAUUCACUCUCGUGCUAGGGGACCUAUUCAGAUCCUCAAUAGACAGCCCAUGGAGGGUAGAUCUCGUGAUGGUGGCCUGCGUUUUGGAGAAAUGGAACGAGAUUGUCAGAUUGCCCAUGGAGCAGCCCAGUUUUUAAGGGAAAGAUUGUUUGAGGCAUCAGAUCCAUAUCAGGUUCAUGUUUGCAAUCUUUGUGGAAUAAUGGCAAUUGCCAACACCAGGACCCAUACAUAUGAAUGCAGGGGCUGCCGCAAUAAAACCCAGAUUUCUUUGGUGCGAAUGCCUUAUGCAUGCAAACUAUUGUUUCAGGAACUUAUGUCUAUGAGUAUUGCACCGCGAAUGAUGAGUGUUUAGCUAUUUUACAAGACUCAACAAGAUAAUUAAAUAUCUUGGUGUCUUGUUUCUAUUAUGUGGCUUUUUAAAAAUGACAAAUAUGUACUGUGUUGUGAUAAAAAGUAUUUUAUUUGUUUAAUGAUAUGCAUGCUUUUCUUCUGUAAAUAUAUAAUAAAUUUUUGUAGAUAGUC
rnacentral:sRNA from 1 species